rnacentral:rRNA from 1 species
AACGAACGCUGGCGGCAGGCUUAACACAUGCAAGUCGAACGGGUGUAGCAAUACAUCAGUGGCAGACGGGUGAGUAACACGUGGGAACCUUCCUCGUUGUACGGGACAACUCAGGGAAACUUGAGCUAAUACCGUAUGCGUCCGAGAGGAGAAAGAUUUAUCGCAAUGAGACGGGCCCGCGUCGGAUUAGCUAGUUGGUGGGGUAACGGCCUACCAAGGCGACGAUCCGUAGCUGAUCUGAGAGGAUGAUCAGCCACACUGGGACUGAGACACGGCCCAGACUCCUACGGGAGGCAGCAGUGGGGAAUAUUGCGCAAUGGGCGAAAGCCUGACGCAGCGACGCCGCGUGGGUGAUGAAGGCCU